rnacentral:rRNA from 1 species
GACGAACGCUGGCGGCGUGCUUAACACAUGCAAGUCGAACGGUGAAGCGCCUUCCUUUUUGGUGGGUGUGGAUGAGUGGCGAACGGGUGAGUUACACGUGAGUAACCUGCCCCCUUCUUCUGGAUAACCGCAUGAAAGUGUGGCUAAUACGGGAUAUUCUGGGUCUGUCGCAUGAUGGGUCUGGGAAAGAUAUUGUUUCGGUGGGGGAUGGGCUCGCGGCCUAUCAGCUUGUUGGUGGGGUGAUGGCCUACCAAGGCGGUGACGGGUAGCCGGCCUGAGAGGGUGGACGGUCACACUGGGACUGAGACACGGCCCAGACUCCUACGGGAGGCAGCAGUGGGGAAUAUUGCACAAUGGGCGCAAGCCUGAUGCAGCGACGCCGCGUGAGGGAUGGAGGCCUUCGGGUUGUGAACCUCUUUCGCCAGUGAAGCAGGCCUGCCUCGUUUGUGGGUGGGUUGACGGUAGCUGGAUAAGAAGCGCCGGCUAACUACGUG